rnacentral:rRNA from 1 species
AACGAACGCUGGCGGCAUGCCUAACACAUGCAAGUCGAACGAGACCUUCGGGUCUAGUGGCGCACGGGUGCGUAACGCGUGGGAACCUGCCCUUAGGUUCGGAAUAACUCCCCGAAAGGGGUGCUAAUACCGGAUAAUGUCUUCGGUCCAAAGAUUUAUCGCCUUUGGAUGGGCCGGCGUUGGAUUAGCUGGUUGGUAGGGUAAAAGCCUACCAAGGCGACGAUCCAUAGCUGGUCUGUGAGGAUGGGCAGCCACACUGGGACUGAGACACGGCCCAGACUCCUACAGGAGGGAGCAGAGGGGAAUAUAGGACAGUGGCGGGAGUGCUGAAGCAGCAAGGCCGGGUAAGUGAUGAAGGCCUGGGGGUAGUAAAGCACUUUUACCCGGGAUGAUAAUGACGGUACCAAGAGAAUAAGCACCGGCUAACUCCGUG